rnacentral:Y_RNA from 1 species
GGCUAGUCUGAAGAUAGUGAGUUAUCUCAGUUGAUUAUUCACAAUCAGUUACAGAUCGAAUUCCUCAUUCCACUCUUUCCCCAUUCUUACUAUUGCACUUGACUAGUCUUUA